rnacentral:rRNA from 1 species
GAUGAACGCUGGCGGCGUGCCUAAUACAUGCAAGUCGAGCGAACAGACGAGGAGCUUGCUCCUCUGACGUUAGCGGCGGACGGGUGAGUAACACGUGGAUAACCUACCUAUAAGACUGGGAUAACUUCGGGAAACCGGAGCUAAUAACGGAUAAUAUAUUGAACCGCAUGGUUCAAUAGUGAAAGACGGUUUUGCCGUCACUUAUAGAUGGAUCCGCGCCGCAUUAGCUAGUUGGUAAGGUAACGGCUUACCAAGGCAACGAUGCGUAGCCGACCUGAGAGGGUGAUCGGCCACACUGGAACUGAGACACGGUCCAGACUCCUACGGGAGGCAGCAGUAGGGAAUCUUCCGCAAUGGGCGAAAGCCUGACGGAGCAACGCCGCGUGAGUGAUGAAGGUCUUCGGAUCGUAAAACUCUGUUAUUAGGGAAGAACAAAUGUGUAAGUAACUAUGCACGUCUUGACGGUACCUAAUCAGAAAGCCACGGCUAACUACGUG